CCCUCCUCCUCCUCCUCCCUCGUCCGCCGCCGCAUCCCACCCUCCUCCUCCUCCUCCCUCGUCCGCCGCCGCAUCCCACCCUCUCCUCCUGCCUCUUCUGCUUCCUUCCUCCUCCCCGGAUCUGCAUCCCAUACGAGGAGUAAAAAUGGUGGCGGCAGAGCAUGGGGUUGGUGACAGCGGUUGGACGAGGUGGUCCACAGGCGAGGAACGGCCACAAAGCAUUCAUCCGGCCACCCCACCGGAGCCUCGGCGGCUGCAGUGGCGCUGCCAUUCUCUCUCUCUUUCUCUCUCUCUCAUGCCACUGUUUCCCUCCCUCAUCCAUCGACACAGCCCGGUCCACCUCACCGAGAGCUCUCAGUGGUAGGGGAAUGGCAGCGACGGUGGCUGCUAGACAGUAGAGGCUCGCCGAGGUGGUCCAUUCCAAGGAAGAGGGAGACGAUGUCGGUGACAAGGAGGGGGUGGAGAUGAAAUGGGGCCAAAUGUUCCUGCGGCAACAAUAGCAGAUCUGAAUUUGUGUUGCUAGGGUGCAGACUGGCCUGGUUUCGAGGAAAAACAUGAAGAUUCAAUUGCCAUUUUCUCUUGCCAAUUCCAUUUUCAGCAGCUUUCAGAGAUGCCUCUUCAUUUGUUAGAAAAAAACAUGGAGACUCAAGUGCGUCUUUUCCUGCCAAUUCCAUUUUCAUAAACUUUCAAAGAUCUUCAUUUGUUAGAAAAUACUUUUUUGAAUUAUGAGCUUGGUCUUUCAACAUGGCAUACAAAAUGUACCUUUGAAUAUAAUAUUAUGUUGCUACUUGCAAAGUUUUUUGUGUGCUAAAUUGUUGUUCAAAUUUCCAAGAACAUGUUAAUUUUAUGUGGCUGCAGAGGGGUAUAUCAAGUUAUGAGCAGGGUGCAUCAAUGGCUCACAGCGGAGGAAGCGGCGGUGACUGCUAUUGCUGCAGCAAGGCGCUAGCUAGCUAGGUGUAGCUGACGCAAUAAGGUUGCCUCCCUGGUUCCCCCUGAUCUGCGCGGUUGGACCUUCAUAGCGUUGUUCAACCACAUCCACAUGGUGGUAUGUGUGAGCGAUGACGCCGGUGGCCUGUGGCCAGAUAUGGAGGCUUAGCUAAUGCAGCGGCAUGGCAACUUAGAUGCGAGCACUAGCUGUUUGUAUAAAUGCACAAGGAGGAGUGCUCAGGGGAGGACGAUAGUUGUUUGUAUAAAUGCACAAGGAGGAGUGCUUAGGGGAGGACGAUAGCUUUCAGGUGUACAUGGAGGAGGUGAAGGCGACUACAGAGGAGCUUGCCGUAGCUGCUCACCUGCUCCGGGAAUCCUCCUGACAGAAGCACGAUGCCAUGUCCUAGAGUUUGUUCACGUACUUCUAUCUGCCUAUAAUAUAUGCUGACAAUUAUAUGUGACUGAUUAAUUAGCUAAAACUUGAGAGGUUAAGGACAAGUGUUUUCAAAUGAAGGAAUAUAGUGUACGUGCAGCUAAUUACAUACACAUAUGCAUCAUUCCAUAAUAAUUGGAAGUUUGGAUAUUAGGUAUUUGUUAAAGACCAGGGAUCCUAAUUGGCCAUUCCCAUACCACAGUUUUCACUGUAUGUAUCUCAUGAACAUUAUCAUUAUGCUCUGUACCAGAAUUGUCACUGUAUCUCAUCAUUGUUUGGAGUAUACCUUUGCAGCUCCAUAGUUAUUAGAAUGGUUUUACUUCCACAUAAUAGCCUUGUUCAAAUAAAAUCACAAGACCUUCGUAAGCUUGCUUAGUUACUAUGGAGAAGGGCCUUCUUCCAAGGAGCUGUAGAUUUUGAAUAUGCUGCUGGUUGGACACUUUUCCACUAUAUGUACAGAAUAGGGGUAGGUAACAGCGCAACUUAGGUUUUGGGGCAGGCCUCACUAGCAAUUAUGGCAUCCUCUUAUUUGGUUGCAGGUUACUUGCCUUGUUCUUUCAGCCCAUCUCAAGAAUUAUAGUGCAGUUUUUGUGGAGAGCCCAUGUUGGUUUGCUUGAUUUAUGUUCAAAAUGGACAAUACAAUGCUCUUUGAGUCAAGUUUGUAUAUAUUCCGAGUACUCCUUUAUUAUUUAUCAACUGAGGCAUGAUUGUUGUUGCACUUCUUACUAAAAAUAAACCUGGUGUUAUUUUCUUUGAGAAAAGAAAUAGACGGCUCAGAUGUGUGCUUCUUAGCAUCACAUCAAAUUGAAUAAUCGAAUAGGGUUAUAUAUCAUCAUAUCUGCAUACAUAAUAUCUUCUGUAAUUAUAUACCGGUGUAGGCUCUUGUUGUUAGAUGAUGAACUUAUGUUAUGUUAUGCCAAGUAGUUAAAUUUAUGUGCACCUUCUCAUGUGUUUACUUGUUUCUGCUUUUAUAGUAUGGUUUGGUCCUGUUGUGAAAAAAGAUCCUGAUAUGUUUGACUAUUCUGUUUUUUUCUUUAUCCAAUGACCUAUUAAUGUGCUUUGAGCAUAUGACAAUUGUUUCCUCACUAUCUUAGAUUAGUAGUAAUCCUUCUUUUAUGUUUCUGCAAUUUCAGUUCCUGCUUUUUGAAAUUUCCUUUGCAUUCUGUAUCUGCACAUCCCCUCUUGUGGUCUGUUGUAAUGGUCUACUGAACAGCCAUAUCAUGCUAUGAUUGCAUCGUUGCAUGACAAUGUACCAUAUGCUCAUGCAUUUCUUUUCUUACCGAUGUUGUCCUGAUGAGUUGGCUGGCUUACAUGUGCGCCCUCCAUCCUAAAAUAAGUGUCUCAACUCUGUUACAAAGUUGUACUAGAGUUGACACUUAUUGUGGGACGAAGGGAGUAGUCUCCUGUGAAGGUCUACAUGUUUUAGGUAGCAUUGCUUUCUGGAAUACGUAAUUGGAACCUGGUAACAUUCACUGGUUACAGUCAGCAAGACAGGAAGAACAUACUUGUGUAUGAGUUCAUGCACAACGAAAGGACCAACUUAGCUGAUGGUAAAUUUUCUCUGUGGAAUCAACAACACGCUCCUGUAUAUACACAUACGAUUCUUUCGCAGCAAAACUUUGUCCAUGCAGUUGUAUUUCAGAUCUUUAGAACUACAGGGUAGUUUCUAUAUUUGCUGAUUCAGGUUGUCUUAGGCUGCAGCUCCCCGUCCAGCUACUGUGUACCCCAUAUCCUUUGAAGAGGAUAAAUCUGAAUGAAAACUUGGAAUUACCUAAUAGGUCCAUACAUGAACUAUUGAUGAUGUGAAUAGAAACACCUGUAGUAGCGCUGACCUUUGGCAACCUUCACGUCGUGCCUCCAAGGCAGGCCAUGAGUGAUGGUUGCCGUGAUGUUGGCCUUGCAAAAAAUAGGGCUUUGCUGACUGGUGACUGGCUAUAGUUUGUGUUUGUUGUUUACAUGUCAGUUUUUAACAAUUUGACCUAUCUUUUAAAGACAUUAUAGUUCACAAAAAGGAAACUUUUUAUAGAAAAUAUAUGGGUUUAUAUUAGACCAUUCUAGACCAUAUCUCUUUAAUACAUAGUUUAUUAUAUUCUGUUUUUAAAUAUGAGAGUGCCCAUCUUACUUAGUGGCAUUGCUAUGCUUCACAAUAUACAAUAUUUUGCAUGCCUGUAUAAUUCAUAAGUGGUUUUUCGUAUUCAGGUGUUAUUAAUAUGGUGAGUGAUUGAAGGGGAGGCAUGAGGAGAGAGCAGUCCAAAGGGCGGAUGGAGCAUGUAACUUGUUGAUGUUAGUUUCCAUUUCCGGAAAGAACAAAUUUUCUAUGAUUUGAGUGUAUGCUGAUGUGUCAAAGUCAAUCAUUUGGAUUCCCAACUAGACUAUUAUGUGAGUUCAAUAUUUUAGUGUGCAUUGAUAAAAUGUUUUGCCUGUGUUCACAAGUUGAAUUUUGAAACAGAUAUGCAUAAGGGAGUUUGCCAUUUAAGAA